rnacentral:rRNA from 1 species
GGCUAACGCUGGCGGCGUGCUUAACACAUGCAAGUCGAACGGAAAGGCCCUGCUUUUGUGGGGUGCUCGAGUGGCGAACGGGUGAGUAACACGUGAGUAACCUGCCCUUGACUUUGGGAUAACUUCAGGAAACUGGGGCUAAUACCGGAUAGGAGCUCCUGCUGCAUGGUGGGGGUUGGAAAGUUUCGGCGGUUGGGGAUGGACUCGCGGCUUAUCAGCUUGUUGGUGGGGUAGUGGCUUACCAAGGCUUUGACGGGUAGCCGGCCUGAGAGGGUGACCGGCCACAUUGGGACUGAGAUACGGCCCAGACUCCUACGGGAGGCAGCAGUGGGGAAUAUUGCACAAUGGGCGGAAGCCUGAUGCAGCAACGCCGCGUGCGGGAUGACGGCCUUCGGGUUGUAAACCGCUUUCGCCUGUGACGAAGCGUGAGUGACGGUAAUGGGUAAAGAAGCACCGGCUAACUACGUG